UCUGGAACAUUCAGUAAUAAGGUUUUCCAUUAUGCCUUAUUUGUAAUGGCUUAAAUUAAACGAACGUAUGUGCUUUCAGCUAUGUCCCAGUGGGGGAGUAAAUAUAUGAAAAAUAAAUUGCUACAGUUGGAACUAAUUAAUUAUUUGAUUGGCAGAUUAAAAACCCUGAAUAGGAUUUACUCAGUAAGUUGGCUGAGAAGUUUCCUGGUCCUACUGUUCAGGCAGGAAAAAGAAUUCCUCAAAUGUACUAGACUUGCUAACUGAGAAAACCACAGGAAAUGAUCAUCUGCAAGUUGUAGAAACACAGCUUCAAAGAGGAAGCCCUGGCUAUUGUCAUCAGGAUACGCCACAACAAAUGUCAAGCAGCUGGCACUUUGGGACUCCGUGGAUACCUUCAUCAGUCAGUGUGCUAUUUCCAGAGCAUCCAAGGUCACUGCACAUGCUUAUGAAGUGCUCCUGUUGUAGCUGCUUGAAUGGAAGGUACCAGGACUGGCAAAGUAAGUGUGCGCGUGCGAUUUGUUAAUUAGUGUUUUGAGCUGGCCAGCAUGUUAUCCCUCCAAUGUUGAGACAACUGAAAUUAGCAUUGGGUAUGCUAUACUCUAUAACUGCUUGUAGUGAAAAAACCUGCACUAGUCCAUGGCUCUAGCUCCCUUCUUGAAGGACAGGCUGUGACAUUUAAAAGUGUUUCACAAAGUGGAAGGCUUCCUUUGGGGGCGUGCAAACUCAGUGUAAGGAAUGAUGGGGAUGUAAUGUACUCCAGCAGAAGGCCAAAAGCUAAUCAGGCCGCACACAUAAUGUGAACACUAAAGAGACUGACAUCUGUAAGUGCAGUGGUACAGCCUCUUAAGGAAAGUACUCAGCACAGAAUUAGUAUGAAUUAUCUCAUUCUGUAGUUACUACGUAUAGAAAGUGAAACAAAAUAUUUUAUUGCUAAUAUAGCAUAGGAUCACAAAAACUUGGAGGGGGGGAAAAAAAAGACUGCCUGUUAAAAUUUGAUGUUCUUCUCAAGUGGGUAAGGACCAAUUUAGCACUGCAAGGCUUACUGACUUAUUUUCAUUACAUCAUCGAUAUAACUGUUUAGCUCAAGAAAAUAACAAAUGAGACCCUGUUUUUCAUGUGACUUGAAGAUGGC